rnacentral:rRNA from 1 species
UACGUAGGCAGCGAGCGUUGUUCGGAGUUACUGGGCGUAAAGGGUGUGUAGGCGGUUCUCUAAGUUUGGUGUGAAAUCUCCCGGCUCAACCGGGAGGGUGCGCCGAAAACUGGAGGGCUAGAGUGCGGGAAGGGAGAGUAGAAUUCCUGGUGUAGCGGUGAAAUGCGUAGAUAUCGACAAGAACACCGGUGGCGAAGGCGGGUCUCUGGACAGUUCCUGACGCUGAGGGACGAAAGCUAGGGGAGCAAACGGG